rnacentral:lncRNA from 1 species
AUGGCCCGAGGCUCCCGCACGGCAGCGGCGGGCAGAGGGGCUCCGAGCCGGAGGGCGGUGAGGGGCGGGAGGGCUGCCCACGCCAGGGGAACGGGACGGAGAAGGGUCCAGCUGCCCCUGCCGACACCGCCUCCCCCGGGGCGGGGGUCUGCGGGAACCGGCAGGGCGCGGGCAGGGGCAGAGGCGCGGGUGGCCGCCCGCCCGCCCCCGGCAGCGCGGCCCCGCGGGCGGCCGUACCUGCAGCUCGCACCAGGCCACCUCCACGGUGGUCUCCGUGUCCAGCCCCUUGUAGACGGUCUUGAAGGAGCCGCGGCCGAUCUCGAUGUCGAACUUGAGGAACCGGCCGUCGGGGGAGGUGGCGACCGCGCGCGUCUCCACCUCCUCGCUCUCCGUCUCCUCCGGCUCCCGGUGCCCCGCGGCGCCCAGCGGCGGCGGCGGCGGCGACCCCCCGCGCCCCCCGCCCGGCGCCGGGUAGCCCAGCAGCUCCAGCUCGGCCGAGCUCCGCCGGUUGAAGCGGGAGGAGGCGCGGCGGGAGUCGCGCCCCGAGGGCCGCCGGCCGCGGCUGCGGUGGGGGGCCCGCGCGGCGAGCCCGGGUCCCGGCUCCGGCUCCGGCUCCGGCCCCGGCGCGGAGCCGCCGCCCGCCUGCUCCGCCUCGGGCUGGGACAUGGCUCCGCCGGCGGCGGGCUCGGCCGCCGGCAUCGGCUCGGCCCGGCUCGGCUCGGCUCGGCCCGGGGCGGCCGCUCCCGCGGAGCUUCGCACCUGGGUGCCGCCGCGGCCCCGCAGCCAGGAGCGACCGCCGGGCACGGGCACCGGCCCCGGCCCCGGCCCCGCCGCGGCUCCGCCCGGCGGCACCUCCCCCGCCCCGCCCGGGCCCGCCCCCGAGCGGCCACCGCCCCCCGCCUGCGCUGCGCCACCGGCGCCACCGGCCCCGCCGCCGGGCACGGGCACGGGCACCGGGACGGGCACCCGGCACUGCGGCAGCAGACACGGGCUGCGCGCAGCGGGCAGAGCGCUCCGCACCCUGGCACCGGGCACGGCGGCCCCGCCGCCCCGGCUCGGCCAGCGGGGACGGCGGGCAUCCCCCCGCCCCGUCCUCCCCGCGGGGCCCUGGCCGCGGCCGGGGGGGGGGGGACACGGCCCGGCUCCCACCCGGGGCCGCGCUGUCUUUGGGCUCUCCUCCCCGCAGGGCAGCCCCUUCCCCGCCCGCCGCCCCCCGCGGGGCUCCGGGCGACGGGGCCGCCGUGA